rnacentral:lncRNA from 1 species
AUCAAUAAUACUUUUUUUUUUUUUUUUUUUCUUUUUUUUUGUAGGACAUUUAUGAUUUAUCAAAAAAAGAAUAAUCAACCAAAAUCUAAUUGUUUAAUUUAUUCCGAUGAUAUAGAGAAAUUAGUGAAUACAAAUUUUUAUAAUAGGACUGUGGAUAUUCUUUUUUGCAGCAGCUUUAAAGGCAUAGAUGUAAAUAUAUACAUAUGUACAAAUAUACAUAUGUACAAAUAUACAUAUGUACAUAUAUACAUAUGUACAUACAUACGUACGUAUUUAACUAACUAACUAGUUGUCUAUCAUUUCUCAUUAUUUCUUUUUUAAGAUCCUAAAAUUUAUCCCUAUGGGAAAAAAAACGUUUGAUGUUGAAAUAACCACAGAUAGAUUGUAUUAUGGUGCAGAGAAUGUUAAUUAUACUAUUGUUAUGAAAUUUAAAGAUAUGCUAAAGGAUUUGCCUCCAAGUUAUAUAUAUAAAACGUUAUGAAAUGCAUGUGAUACGUAUAUAUAUAAAAUGUGCUGAACUAUAUGUGCAUAUAUAUAUAUAUAUAUAUGUGUUUGCUUUUAAGGUUAUAUUAUACAAGUAGAAAUACCAACGGAUAUGUGUAUUGAAAAUAGCUGUUUUACUAAAAAUAGAAAAAACCUAUGCUUAAAUGUUGAAGCACAAUUAUUAGAGUCAUGUUCGCUUGAACAUAAUUUAUUAAUCUUCACAAUAGACAAGAAUAAGAGUUCCCGCAUAACUAAUAAUAAUGAGUUGAAAAUAAUACUUAAAAACAUGAUCAAUCCUAUAAGAAUUACAAAAAAACGCGAAGAUUGGAAAUUUAGUAUUUUAACCUUAAACACAGAUUUUAAAAAAGAUGAAACAAAAUUGUUUGAUGAAAUAACAAAAUCCAUAGGUGGUGCCUGUACUAAUGAAUUUUUGACUAAUUUUCAUUCCAAUAUGGAGUUUAUAGAAAUUUACAGAACAAAUAAGGCUUCACCUGAAUUGUAUAAUUUUUCCGUAGAAUUAAAAGUAAUGCUUCAAAAAAAAAAAAAAAAAAAAAAAAAAAAAAUACAAACAAUAAUACAUGCACACAAACGAAUAUAUAUAUAUAUAUAUAUAUGUAUAUAUAUAUAUAUAUAUAUGAACAUGUAUACAUACUCACACACACGUACUUCUCUUAUGUCGUAGAAAAGUAGUAAAUUUAGAAUCGAGAGGGGUGGCCCCCUUGUCCUCGAACUGAAAGCAGAACAAUCAAAAUACGAACUUUUCAAUAAACGUUGCACGGUAUUUUUAUCA